CUCGUGUAUGGGGCUGUUAAGGUUUCCUGGAUUCCUGCUCCAUACUGGACACAGGUCCGAGCCCUUUCGUUCUUGCGAGCGUUCAUCUACUCCACUCUCACUUCCUGGCUGUGUCUGGGAUGCCUCCUGGGUGGAAGUACUGGUCCCAAGGUAUGUGGACACUUGAUUUGCAUAAGUAGAACCAGGUGGCCCUCCGGAAGAACUAUGUGUGCCAAUCCAAACCUCAUUCCAUUCAGAGCUCACUCAGGCCCCACUUUUCAUUACUGAGGAUUCGGGCCUUUACUGUGUUCUUUCUGGGUUUUUUUCCCUCCCCUUGUGGAAAUUGCGUUUUCCUAAUCUUGGGCUUCGUUCCUUGAAGCUGCUGCUCUCUUUCUAAGCAUGAGGUCUUCUUUUAUUCUACAUGUUAAUCGCUUAUUGAUUUUUUUUUACUUUUACAUUUAUUUAUUUAUCUAACAAAACUCGAGAAGUCCUGACAGGCCUUGAAUUCACUAUUAAGAUCACAUAGACAGGCCUUGAACUUGUAGCAACUCCUCUGCCUCAGCUUCCAAGCGCUGGGAUUACAGCAGGAACAAAUCAGAUCCCAAAGAGAGGUGAACUCCAAUUCCACAAACUGCAGUCUCAUGUCCACGACACUGAGAAAAAGCUGAAACUCACAGGAGGGAACAGGUGAAGGAUGGCCAGGGGCUGGAGGUGGGUGAGCCUCACCCGGCAAAGGGAUGGGGCUUGUGCGGACAUGAUAGUUUUCUUGCUGAAUCAUAGUGAGUUGACUCGAUUGCUACAGUUCAUUCAUUUGCAGGAUGAAGCGCGCUUGAACUCAUGGAGAGAAUGGAUCCAGUCACUCUGUGUGGCUGCAUCUUGGCUAAAUAAACAGCAGUGUGAGUGUGCUCCAACUAGUACAAAAAUGGCCGAGUCACGCAUGAAGAACACAUUUAAAUAGCUAAAGAACACGGAGAAAUAGCUGAGACAAUGGGCUGUUGCCCUUAACAACCUAACAAUCUGCCUUUGAUUCUGCAAAAUCUUGCUUGCCUGUCAGUCCCACCUUGUGCUUUCAGAGUAUAAAAUGGAAAUACAAACUGGACAAGGAAUCAAAGCCUUCUAUGAGCCAUCCUGGUUUCAGUCUGGAUCUCCUUUCUUCCACUCUUACUGGUAUUGGAGUGCUUAUUCCAGAAAGAUCUCACAUUUCUGGGUCCCCACCAGAGAGGCUGCAGCACCUGGGGCCUCUCAGCCCACUGAAGGUCUCUGGAAGUGGGAAGGGUAGGCCCCUGAGGGGAUUCCCGGGUCCCCUUCUAGUGACUUUAAGGAACUGUAAGACCCAGGACUGGAGGGUGGAAGAGACUAGGCUAGCUGUCCAGACCAGAUAAAAAACCCUGCAUUAGGAGACAUAAUUAAUAAAAACAAACAUUUUAAAAAGUG